rnacentral:tRNA from 1 species
AAAGAUUUAGUUAAAUUCCCAUAACAUUAGAAUGUCAAACUAAAAUUAUUCCCAGAAUAAUCUUUU